AUGAAUGAUAAUGCAUUACUUUUUUCAGGUUUAAACGUCAUUAUUGGACUUGCUAGUGGGGCGGGCCUCAUACUUUUGGUCCUCAUUGCAUACUAUAUUUCCUACAAAUUUAAGCUUCAAAGGGCACAAAUGUUGAAACGGAAGUAUUUCGAGCAAAACCGUGGGCAGUUGUUGCAACAGUUGGUAUCUCAAAGAGCUGAUAUUGCAGAGAGAAUGGUCAUAACCUUGGAAGAGUUGAAGAAGGCAACAAAUAAUUUUGAUAAAGCUCGUGAACUUGGUGGUGGUGGACAUGGUACGGUCUAUAAAGGGAUUUUGUCGGACCUCCACGUCGUAGCCAUCAAGAAACCAAAGAUGGUUGUUCAAAGGGAGAUUGAUGAGUUUAUUAAUGAGGUUGCUAUCCUAUCACAAAUCAACCAUAGGAAUGUAGUAAAACUAUAUGGCUGCUGCCUUGAAACAGAAGUCCCAUUGCUGGUCUAUGAGUUCAUAUCCAAUGGAACUCUUUAUGAUCAUCUUCAUGUUGAAGGACCAAGAUCAUUGUCAUGGGAUGAUAGGCUACGGAUAGCAACUGAAACUGCCAAAUCUCUUGCCCAUCUUCACUCAACGGCUUUAGUGCCAAUCAUCCAUAGAGAUAUCAAGCCUGCUAACAUACUUUUGGAUGAUACUCUAACAGCAAAGGUAGCAGACUUUGGCGCUUCAAGGUACAUUCCUUUGGACAAAUCAGGGCUCACAACAAUGGUGCAAGGUACACUAGGAUAUCUCGAUCCGAUGUACAUGCACACAUGGCGCCUCACGGAGAAAAGUGAUGUUUAUAGCUUUGGUGUUAUGCUUAUAGAGUUAAUGACCAGAAAGAAACCAUUUACCUAUAUGGCUUCCGAAGGCAAUGGUCUUGUGGCACAUUUUGCUACCUUAUUUGCAGAAGGGAAUUUGUCGGAGAUAUUAGAUCCACAAGUUAUGAGUGAAGGUGGCAACAGAAUUGAUGAAAUCGCUGCAAUUGCAGUAGCAUGUGUUAAGUUAAGAGGGGAGGAACGGCCAACCAUGAGACAAGUGGAGUUGAGACUGGAAGCUGCUCAAUCACCUGAGGAAUUUGAGGCAAAUGGUGAUAUUGUAGCAAAUUCUCCAUUAGCAUGCGGAGCGGGAUUGACUAGCAGGCAGUAUAGCAUGGAAGAAGAGUACGCGUUGUCUGCAAGAUAUCCACGGUAG
rnacentral:rRNA from 1 species